CCCCCCCCCCGGGUUUUCCUGCCCCGGCCUCGGCUCGGAGGUUCUUCUCUGCGCGGCUGCGAGGCGUGUCUCACUUUCGCAAGGCAUUCGCCUAUCUAUUCGGCUGGGUCUUAACCCAAUUAAAGUCCCAGAUUGCAAGAGAGCGAGACGUGGGAAGGAUAAUUGCAGAGGCAGGGCUGAGCAGAGGACAGGAGAGGACAAAAAAAAAAAAGAGUUAGGUAUCCACUGUGCAAUGCCCGCCUCUUACUCAGCAUUUUCCGUCGGUAGAUUAUAAAGCAGCUGGAAAGUACAAUAGUCUGCAAAUAUGCCCUCUAGCAGCCUGGAACUGUCUUUGCUGAUGUAUCACUGGAAAUAAAUGAUGAAAGAACAUGUCUACAGAAUGCUAAUAAUUUUGGGAUUGCAGUGACAGAGGUUAUUUGAGCACAUCGGGGAAUGCCAAACUGUUCUAAGCCUAAGGAAUAAUGCCAUACAUAUGCUCUCAGUGGGCACUGGGGAAAUCCUACACACAACAGAGGACACAGAAAGAUGAGAGAAUGGAACUCAGUAAAGGAAAUGGAGUCUGAUUCAGUAGCUUUGAAAUUUUCAUUCUCCUGGUCCACAUAGAAGAUGCAGAAGUGGUGUUUUGGGAUUCAUGUGUUCAGAGCCUAGGUGUAAAAAGACACAUUCCAGAGGUAAUUUGUGUAACUUGUCACUGAAUCUGCUACAAUUGAAGGAAAAGACUCAAAGGAGGAACUGAAGUGUAGAGUCAUGUGGUAGAAGACCUAUUUCCCCAAUGAUGUUGCUCUUUAACUGUUAUAUUUCAGGUUCAUGAACUGUUUUUAAUAUGAUAUAUAUGGGACUUGCCUGUGUUUGAAAACUCUUAUAUAUUAAAGAGUAAGGCUUGUCUUGUUAAGGCACUAGCCUGGUACUUAUGAGCUGUA